rnacentral:rRNA from 1 species
UACGAAGGGGGCUAGCGUUGUUCGGAAUCACUGGGCGUAAAGCGUAUGUAGGCGGAUCAAAAAGUUAGAUGUGAAAUCCCUGGGCUCAACCCAGGAACUGCAUUUAAAACUAGUGAUCUAGAAUUUGGUAGGGGUUAGUAGAAUUUCCAGUGUAGAGGUGAAAUUCGUAGAUAUUGGAAAGAAUACCAGUGGCGAAGGCGACUAACUGGGCCAUUUUUGACGCUGAGAUACGAAAGCGUGGGUAGCAAACAGG